CAUACGAAGCCCCUUCAUCGAUCUAAAACCCUCAGGAUGAGUCAUGGUUAGGGUUGCCACAUGAAAUAAGUGUCGUUGAAAAUGUUUAUUUUACUGUGUACCGGUCGACAUCAAAAACUCCGUUCGUUAUAAAAGAGACUGCGGACAAGAUUAUGGAUGACCUCUUCAGUCUACUUGAUCUUAUCUUGUAUACGCUUUGUAUUUAAAUUGACGGCGACGCCAUGAUAUAUUCUCUCCGAAACGAUCAUUUAACCCUGCAAUAUUUUUCUAUCUCGGCUAAGCUAAAAGAGAGUGUUUAUUUCCUCCAUGAGUUCCCAAAAAUCACUUUUCCCCCCCCUUAACCCUGCGCCAGAAGUUUGUUUAUAUAGCUUGCAUGAAAAUAUAUAUAUCCUCCAGAAGAUCAGAACAAAAUUUAUCGAAUUUCCUCAUAAUGACAUGAUUUGAUGUACAACUACUUACGUGCUGUCUCGGUUUAGGUAAUUGGACAACCUCCCAGUCUCAAACACUGGGGUUGUCUGCGGCACUUCGAGAUCGAAGGUGUCUACCGAGACCAUGCUUGGCGACAAACCUUUCUCGCGCAGGAAUGCUAGAGGGGGUAGCGUUACAUCCGCUCUCGCAUCUGGGGAUCCUAACUCGCGUCUUGAGGCGUGGGAUGAGGCAUUUGCCUCCGGACGAACCGUAGGGUGCUGGUCAAACGCUUUCAGCUCGACAAGAGCCCUGUUGUCGAAGAAUUCCGCCUCGAGAUCGCCGUAUUCAUCCCUG
rnacentral:sRNA from 2 species